CUGAGCUGGUGAUGAUGUUAAGUUAUCCCUGUCUGAAAAAAAAAACAAAAAACAAAAAAACUUCCUUUGUGGAAUUCUCACUCUCUGAGGCUCAG